AUCACCUUGCCGAUAGAACUCUUCAACAUCUGUAAUAACAAAACCAAAAACUCAUAUCAAUCUUGAAACGUGCAUCUCCUAAUCUCAAUGAACAAAAGCUCACUUGCUCCUGUGAGUUUUCUAGAAUUCAAUCAUUAAACCAAACUAUGUUCUAUUAUUUGUUGCUAAGAAAAUAUAGCUCAAAUUAAAAGAAGAUUUUAUUUAAGCGGAAAAAAAGGCACUUAAAAAAAAAAAAUCUCCAGUCGUCCAACCUCAAAUAAUAGAACUACACUGCGCUACUUGAAGCGGUUUUUCACUUCCCAGAAAAUACAACAUAAAGAAUUUUUUUUAGUAAUUCACACUUUUCCUCCAAUCUCCAGUUCCUCGGAUUUUCUCAGCAACCAAGCAAAGACCAGUUUACACCUGUAUGGUAAUUUUCCAGUCAAGUAACUCGAACACAACCCGGAAAAAAGUCCCUCGAUUUUCACAGGAAAAUUGAAAACAAAGUAAAAUUA
rnacentral:misc_RNA from 1 species